UCCAUAUUCCUCUCCUGUCAAGUAAUAAUAAGAUGCUAAAUGCUAGCCAUAUGAGUCUCGACCAGAUCAAAUAAGAAGCACAUGCUAGAUCUGGAAAUAGCGAUGCUCCACUCUCCUUUGGAUCAAACUAAAAUUAAGCUGAACAUGGAAUGUCCAGAACUCCGCUUAAGAAAUUAAGCUGAUAUCUUGCAUUUCUAGUGAAAUUUUAUUGGGAAGGGAUCUAAAGAAGAGCUUUCCUUCUAGUCAUUACUGAUAGCUUGCGUAUUUUCUCAGUUUCCUGGCUCAAAAGCUUGAAGACAGAAAAUUUCAGGUUGCAGUUUCUGUGUUGUUUAAAGCUUAAAGGUAG